GUUUCCUCCUCCUCGGUAAUACGUAGGUGGCAAGCGUUGUCCGGAUUUAUUGUUCUCAAAGCGCGCGCAGGUGGUUUCUUAAGUCUGAUGUGAAAGCCCACGGCUUAACCGUGGAGGGUCAUUGGAAACUGGGAGACUUGAGUGCAGAAGAGGAAAGUGGAAUUCCAAGUGUAGCGGUGAAAUGCGUAGAGAUUUGAAGGAACACCAGUGGCGAAGGCGACUUGCUGGACUGCAACUGACGCUGAGGCGCGAAA
rnacentral:rRNA from 1 species